UACGUAGGGUGCGAGCGUUGUCCGGAUUCAUUGGGCGUGAAGGGUGCGUAGGCGGCGCGGUAAGUCGGGUGUGAAAUCUCGGGGCUUAACUCCGAAACUGCAUUCGAUACUACCGUGCUUGAGGACUGGAGAGGAGACUGGAAUUUACGGUGUAGCAGUGAAAUGCGUAGAUAUCGUAAGGAAGACCAGUGGCGAAGGCGAGUCUCUGGACAGCAACUGACGCUGAGGCACGAAGGCCAGGGGAGCAAACGGG
rnacentral:rRNA from 1 species